rnacentral:rRNA from 1 species
UGGGGAAUCUUCCGCAAUGGACGCAAGUCUGACGGAGCGACGCCGCGUGAGUGAAGAAGGCCUUCGGGUUGUAAAGCUCUGUCGUCGGGGACGAAUAGGUGCGAGAGGCAAUGCUCGUGCUAUGACGGUACCCGAGAAGGAAGCCACGGCUAACUACGUGCCAGCAGCCGCGGUAAUACGUAGGUGGCUAGCGUUGUCCGGAAUUAUUGGGCGUAAAGCGCGCGCAGGCGGGACCAUAAAUCUUUUGUAAAAGUGCGGGGCUUACCCCCGUAAUGCGGAGGAGACUGUGGUUCUUGAGGGCAGGAGAGGAAAGUGGAAUUCCCCGUGUAGCGGUGAAAUGCGUAGAUAUGGGGAGGAACACCAGUGGCGAAGGCGACUUUCUGGACUGCUUCUGACGCUGAGGCGCGAAAGCCAGGGGAGCGAACGGG